AUCACCUUGGCAGAUGAAUGUACUAGAUUUAGGAUCUAAUUAUAUAGGCGGAGAACUAUAGGUGAUA
rnacentral:tRNA from 1 species